rnacentral:rRNA from 1 species
GUCCAUGCCGUAAAACGGUGGGCGCUAGGUGUAGGGGACUUCCACGUUCUCUGUGCCGUAGCUAACGCAUUAAGCGCCCCGCCUGGGGGAGUACGGCCGCAAGGCUAAAAACUCAAAGGAAUUGACGGGGGCCCGCACAAGCGGCGGAGCAUGUGGAUUAAUUCGAUGCAACGCGAAGAACCUUACCUGGGCUUGACAUACACCGGACCGGCGUAGAGAUACGUCUUCCCUUGUGGCCGUGUACAGGUGGUGCAUGGUUGUCGU